GGGCAAAAACGCUUGUCGGGUGCCCGCCAUGGGCGGGAGAAUCGGGAAUUCGGUGGAAGACCGGAACGUGCCCAACGCUGUGAGGCCGACGCCUGCUGCAAACAACGCCACUGGCUCCGGCCGGGAAGGCUGUGGCGGGCGGAUGAAGCCGAGUCAGAAGACCGGCCCGACACCAUAGACUGAU
rnacentral:ncRNA from 2 species